ensembl:lncRNA
UUUUUUUUUUCUUUUUCUUUUUCAGGUCCGGCAUGAGACUCAGCAUAUCAGAAAGUUUUGCCCAAGUCCAAUUGAGUUUCCACCAGAUAUCAGUUCAUUAAAGCCUUGCUGCUUGCUUCAGACUGCUGGAGAUGUGGCUGAGGAGAGGGCUCCAGGCAGCGUUCCACCCACCACUACUUCACAGUAAUUUCAUACUUGUAUACACAGGAAAUUAUCCUGAUUUGAAGAGUUUUCUACAAGCUGUCAAGAAGAUUAUUUUGGGUGUUUGAAAUAACAGUAGGAGGCUAGAAUUGAGAAAAGUUUUUAAGCCAUCUUCUUAUAUUAAGCCUAAAGCGUUUGUCUGAAUGGUUUUUGAUCCUCAAUCAAAGGUGUAGAUGUGCAGAAAUCACAAUCAAAAAUCAAAGAUUCUCAGGCAGGAAAAGGAAGAAGAAAAAGCCUAAAAGACAUUUGCUUUACUAUCUGGAGUGGCAAAGAAAUGAGAGUCUUCUAAAUGAAGUCUUAUAUGAGGAGUGUGAAGAUUAUAUGAGAUAACAGUCUUUCUCCAGGAGAUCCCCUACAACCUCUCUUUUUGCUGGUAGAGAAGCAAUGAGAAUGUAUUUAGCAGCAAGGCUCGAGCAUCUGCCUUCAGAUCUGUCAUAUAUCCAUGUUGUUGUAUUACUGGAGUUUCAGAUAGCACCUUUCCACUUUGGCAACAUAAUGGACUCAUAAGUGCUACCAGCCUCACACUGGUCAAAGAAUUCUAGUGAAGGAUUAUUUGUGUUACGUUUUUCUUCUUCUCUUUUGAGAGGAAAUGUACUUUUUUCUAGUUGUUUUAAUUAGUCUUCUAGGAACUUUUGUUUUUUCCUACAAAUAGAGAGAACUUGAUCCAGAAUGCCUUCCAUAAAUAGAAUAACUUUUUUUUUUUUUUUUUAUGAAACAAGAAUAUUCAAUAAGAUGGAAAUUCUUGUUAAGAGUAUAUUCCUAGAAGAUGGUUUUGCAGUCUGCAGCUGCACCAUUAAAACUUACGAAGAAUGUUACGUGUAUUCAUACAUGUAGUUCUGAAUCUUUUAUCAGGUAAUUAAUUUUAAGUUACUGCAACACUUUAAAUGUCUUGCUUAUUAUGUCUACCUGCCACAUUUGCUUUAAUACACAAGAUUAGUAGCUAUAAAUCUGAAACUGCUAGAAAGGCAUUUAUUGUAGUAAAUCAAAUUCUUUCCUAUUAGAAUUUUGACAAGGCUAUCCUCAUUUAUGCUUGACUAUUUAAAUAAUAUUUACACUAGUUGCCAUUUAUUUGUUAAUUUUAUCCUUUGAAGAAAUGAAUAUGUCCAGGGAAAAAAUGUUGAACAAGGAAAGUCUUCUCAAGAAGAAGUAUUGUGUCUUUUUACAUGUUCUGUUGUAAUAUUCUGUCUGCUGGCUUACUCAAUUUCUAAAUGUAAAGACAUAAAUGCAUAUUGUGCCCUCCCCUCAUUGUUUACUAAUUUAUCAACUUGCAAUAAAUUUGUUAAGUUAGGUUAAUAAAAUCUUCAGCAAUUAUUUUGAUUUUUUACUGUUGCUGCUCUACAUUUUUUCCUCAGAUACACUAAUGUUUAUAAAUUCCCCAGGACUUCCAUAAAACUAUUUGGUCCGUACUAAUUUGUCUGUACCCUAACAAGGGGUCUCCAACUGUAAUUUUGACUGCAAUUUUCAACCCAGCUGGCUGUGGAGCAUCCACAGGGAGCAGAAUGAAGCCAGCACUACAGUGAGAACAUUUCAAACUCCUUGUGGAUUAAAUGCGGUCUCCCUUAAUUCCUGGCUUUUACUCUGAGUUAUACAGUACUUUUUUUAUUAUAAAAAUGCACUGUAAAUUCAUCCCAAAAAGCAGUGUGAUGAGCAUUGGUUUUAUUUGUUUAUUUUGGCUUCUCAGUCUUUAAGUGCUGUCUUCAUUCUUCAAAGCAGAGGAUUUUUUUUUUUACUUUUGGAAAGUUACAUUCUGGUUUUCGACAAACUUACUAUUAUCUGUAAUACAGACUGGUAUCCACUGUACUCUAGUGAUCAGGCAGUAAAACAGUGGAUUGCUGAUCCUUUCUUAUUUGUACCACUUUUCUUCCUAUAUGAUGAUUAUAAAGUUUAUUUCCCUAGCUCAAUAACGAUCAUUUAAAGCACUAAAUUAUUUCUCAGUAUUAGUGUUCUUUUGACUAACUGUAUGAUGGUUUUUUCCUCUUUUUACAUAUGGGAAAAUAAAUGAUAGUUAAACAAUUUUCUUCAAGAC